ensembl:lncRNA
UUUUAUUUUACUUAUUUUAGGUCUGUGAAGCCAAACUUGAUGCUGGGGAUUUAUUUUUGUCAGUGGAGUCAAAUGGUCUAGAUGAUCACAUCUGUCUUUGUCAUUUAAAUGAGGUGGACUUGCAAACUUUGCGCUCUUUGGGGUAAAUUGCUGUCCACUACAUAUACACAGAAUCUGCACAGUAUUUCAGAUCUAAAAAGGGAGUAUGUAAUGGACUUGCUGGCUUUAAUGUAAAAAGCCUGUUGUGUAACUUUAAUGAGGCAGUUGGACUAAAACAGUAUUGCUCAUCAAGGUAAACAUCUGAGGAAUAAGGAAAUUGUUACUUGUCCUUUUACUCAGUGUUCUUUUAAUCACACGUUUACUAAAGUUUUACAUCACAUAAGUCAUUUUCACAAUCAUUCUACUUUAAAAGAUUUCAAGACAGAGCUUAUUGUUCUCUGAACUUCCUUGUUUGCUGAACGGCAGGUAAAGUGCAUCUUUUUGUUUGUUUGCUUUUGUGUGUUUGUGUUUUCUCUAAUGGGCCUCAGAUGACUGUUUGCUUAAAUUUGGGUCUCAAAGAAUCUUUUUUUAAUUCUGCCUGUACUCUCCACCCCUCUUCUUCUAUUGCUCAGGUUGAAGCAGAAUUUGCCCGUCUUACAUCUGUUGACCUGAAAGGGUUCCUUUUGCUGUGCUUGACCAUUAUGGAGAGGUUCGUGGAGCUGUACAAAAUCAAGAGCGGCAUAGAAAGGCUAACUAGGCUCAUAAGAUGCUUCGGAGAUGAUAGCCCUACACAAAGGAAGAGGACAGAGGACCUCAUUUUCUAAAGGAAGAUCCCUCCCACACUUUCAAGACUGUGAAGCCGACAGGUAUUGAAGACACGUUUUCUAAGAGGAUGAAAGUUGGCAUUGCGAUGGUGAAAGAAGAAGACAUCGAUGUGUUGGUUGUCCUUGAGGCGGCAGUAAUCCUGUCUAAUCUGAGGGAUGUCUCAAGUGCCAUUUCCAUGCUGAUGGGCCUUCUUUUUGCCCUCAACGUAGACUAUCCAAAGGAACUUAAGGACAUCUUUGAAGUCAUUCAGAACAUCCUAAUGAACAUUGGUGGAAGGCAGUGCAUCUCACUAGUGCAUGGUCUAAGAAACAGACUCUUGCAGAAAGCCAUGCAGAACUGUAAUUGUAUGAUCCUUAGUGUUA